rnacentral:lncRNA from 1 species
AAUUCAGAGAAUCCUUUGUUGCUGACCUGCAUUUUCAUCAAUACAACAAACAUGAACUCAACAAAAAUGUUCAUUGAUCAAGUUAAUAACAAGAAACAACAACAACAAAAAAAAAAAACCAGCGCAAUCCCACAAAGUGGUGUCUCGGGAGGGUACAGUGUAUACGCACACCUUACCCCCUCCUUUGUGAAGGUAGAGAAGCUGUUACCGGCAGACAAUAACAAGAAAAAAGGAACAAUAUUAAUUAUAUGAGUAAGUGAAAGAAGGACCUGGAGAGAAGAGUUGGCUACUGUGAGAGCAGCCGAAGCCAUUGUUCUUUUUAGAAAUGCAGCAGAAGAAUGUGGUAUUUGGUGUGGAAGUUUAAGAAAUAUGGAAGGUAUAAGGGGAUGAGUAGGACAAAAUGGAUGGAGGGAAGAAAAUGGAUGAGAUUAUGGAUCAUAGCAGAUAGAUAGCCUCUCACUCAUUGUAUGGCUGUGGUUGCCUACUUGCAUGUUCUUUUCCUUAUGUGCUAGACCUUUUAUUUUUUCAAGUAUCCGGAAUCUAUUGGUCCGACUAAUCUAGAUGCGUA